UAUGUGUGUGUGUGUGUGGAGUGUGUGUGUGAAAGAGACGCCGAUUAGCUUUGGAGCCAGUACCGACUCUAGAGUCCUAGUGAGAGAAACAAAAUGUCCCCCCUGUGCUUUCUGACCACAGUGUGACAUCCGUAGCAGGAAACGUUAACCCUCUCCUUGAUGUAAUAUUGUUUAUGGUGAAGGAGAACCA